rnacentral:piRNA from 1 species
UGUAAAGAAACAGAUAGCAAACACGUGAGGC